rnacentral:piRNA from 1 species
AUUCUCUGCAGAAAAUGAGUUGAUAGUACA